UGCCCCAGACCUAGAGGCAAGUGCUGGAGAGACGGGCUCCGCGCACUAGCGACCUGGCCAUCCAGGGGAAGGGAAGGCCGCCAGCAGAAAAUCCCCAGAGGACAAAGCUGAGAGAAUGGUGAAAAGAACAUACAGGAGACUACUAUGAAGCAAGUAGGAAGGCUACUUCAGGAAGAGAUCUGCAACAUCAAAACCAGUGAGGUGUGAAUAAUCAAAUGUAUUAGUUGGGGCUCAUGAAAUGAAAAAGAGUUGAAAUGAAAAUGGAAUAAAACCUCUCAAAAUACAUGCAAAACGCAAAAUGACAGAAAUUUCCCGGACUUGGCUGGAGAUUACAAAGCACUGCAUAAAUCACAAGACCCUACUGACUCUUCCUCCUUCUAAAGAAACAUUUGACUAAUUGAAUAUUAAGAUUUCUUCCAAAAGUAAUUUGUAUUUUUCCUACAACAUAAAAUACACAACUUUCCUGUCGAUGUAAUCAUAACUAAGAAAGCCGUGCAAGCCUGAAGUAUUUUCAAAAAGAAAAAAAAUGCCUGAAAGUCCAUUUUACAAUUUGUUUUCAGCAUUUUCAAAAGUUUGUGAACAGGCUAACCAACCUUUUAAAAAGUUCAGCUAGAAUCAAAUGUAUAUUCUAGUUUAAAAUUGCUAAAAAGUAUUUAUGGUUGGGAAAUAAAAGGGGUUUCAUUAUUUUAUUUUUAAGUUGCAUUUUCACUUUCCCUACUCAACCCUCAGUUUCCUCUGCUGUAUCUGAUGUUCUUACCAGGACAAAGGCAGAAUAAAAAAUAAUCACUACUCCACUGCUCUGAAGAAGAAAAAGAAAGUAAUAGGGUUAUCACCAAAUAUUACAGGAAAAGCAUAGCUCCAAGACAGAGCUUCUAUUGGGUGUGGAAUUUUUUACCCUAACUUAGAAACUAUACAGCCACAUUUCUAUUUAAAAGCCAUUCUUGAUGUUAUGGGCAAAAUUCUGGAACUGUUUGGCAUUUCUAUAACCUAAGACUGACUGGACCCUUGAGAAAUUCAAAUUCAGAUGCCUUCUAUAAGUUACAGGCAUCCAAUUGUAGGUUGUUCCCAGGAAAGUGUCUGUCCUCCUAGGUCUUCAUGUUGUUUGAAUAUUGCAAAUAGAUUUGACCUUGAAAAGUUUUUCGUGAAUACUGAGCACACUCUCCUCUCAUGGGUUCUCUACACAAAUUCAUUCUCAUUCUUUCUCUCACUCUGGUUCUCUCUCUCUCUCUCUCUCUCUCUCUCUCUCUCUCUCUCUCUCUCUCAUACACACAUACACACACACAAAAAAUACAAGUACACAUAGUAGUCUACUUCCAGUUGAAAAAUUAGAUGCAGAAUUCAGAAGAUUUCAAAGGUAAUACAUUCCAAAUCCAUAGCUACAGAAAGUUAGGUUUUGUAAGGGACUGAGUAGACAACACAAUAGCUAAUGACCACUUACUGGGUAUAAGGUCUUCUUCUGAGGUAAUAAAAAUGUUCUGAAACUAGACAAUUGUGCAAUAGUGAAUGUACUAAAGUCACUAGAUUGUAUACUUUAAAAUGCCUUAAGUGAUGGGUUUUAUUUCAUGUGAAUUUUACCUUAAUUUUAAAAAAUAAAUAUAUUCUUAAAGGAAAGUUUACCAUUUCCAUGUGGUUUCAGGAGAUCUUAAUUAGAGAAUGUAGGAAAAAAGAAGACAAAAAUCAAGUUUUGUCCAUCACGCUUACAAGAAAUUUAAACAUGUAACUAAGGUUUAUGUUUUCUCCCAUAUACUCUCAUAAAAUACCAAAAAAUUCAUUUAAUAAAUGUUUGGUCUCUCAACUUUUGCCAUUAAAUCUUUUGCUGGCUAAUCUCA